AGAGCAUGCAGGGCCCGCGGAAGAAGCAGUCCCGGCUCCGGGGCGCCGCCGGCUGAGGGGGCACCUUGGCUGGGGUCCGGCGGGGCAGCCUGAGGAGAGGGCGCCGGCGGCGGCACCAACUGCAACAGCGAGGCCUCUUCUGGCUCGGGCGGUUACGCGGCUCCUUCGAGAGAAGGUGGCCCAUAUAGAAGGCCCCGAGGAGGGGGACCGGGACGGGAGGGAGGGAGACCCAGAGAGGCGGGCUCCCGGCAGCGGGGCAGGCCGCUCGCUGGCUCGGCCCCCGGAGGGGUCGCCCUUCCUGCGCACACACACGCACACACGGGCACACACGCGACGGUGGGGGGUGGGCGUCAGCUGCGGGCCGCCGGAGUGCCCGACGGGGGCUACAUGCUUUGCCCAGGGAAGCCGGGAGAACGAUGGGCGCGAGCUUUGGGGACGCGAGGGAGGGAGCGAGCGAGCCUGCCGGCUAGGCGACCAGUCCGGGCCCGGCCAGCCGGCUCAGUCAGUCAGCGGAGCGGCCGGGGAAAGGCCGGGUCCCGCUCGGACCAUUUUAACUGCGGAUCCGCCGCCGGCGC
rnacentral:lncRNA from 10 species